rnacentral:rRNA from 1 species
AUUGAACGCUGGCGGCAGGCCUAACACAUGCCAGUCGAACGGUAACAGAAAGCAGCUUGCUGCUUUGCUGACGAGUGGCGGACGGGUGAGUAAUGUCUGGGAAACUGCCUGAUGGAGGGGGAUAACUACUGGAAACGGUAGCUAAUACCGCAUAACGUCGCAAGACCAAAGAGGGGGACCUUCGGGCCUCUUGCCAUCGGAUGUGCCCAGAUGGGAUUAGCUUGUUGGUGGGGUAACGGCUCACCAAGGCGACGAUCCCUAGCUGGUCUGAGAGGAUGACCAGCCACACUGGAACUGAGACACGGUCCAGACUCCUACGGGAGGCAGCAGUGGGGAAUAUUGCACAAUGGGCGCAAGCCUGAUGCAGCCAUGCCGCGUGUAUGAAGAAGGCCUUCGGGUUGUAAAGUACUUUCAGCGGGGAGGAAGGGAGUAAAGUUAAUACCUUUGCUCAUUGACGUUACCCGCAGAAGAAGCACCGGCUAACUCCGUG